rnacentral:rRNA from 1 species
UACGUAGGUGGCAAGCGUUGUCCGGAAUUAUUGGGCGUAAAGCGCGCGCAGGCGGUUCUUUAAGUCUGAUGUGAAAGCCCACGGCUCAACCGUGGAGGUCAUUGGAAACUGGAGAACUUGAGUACAGAAGAGGAAAGCGGAAUUCCACGUGUAGCGGUGAAUGCGUAGAGAAUGUGGAGGAACACCAGUGGCGAAGGCGGCUUCUGGUCUGUAACUGACGCUGAGGCGCGAAGCGUGGGAGC